CAUUGGCAUGACAAGAGCCUUUCUGGGAUAGCUCUAUGUGCUGUAGUCUCAUUUCCUGCUGGCCAAACUCAAAUCAGCAGCUUCUCGGUGGCAUGCACCUUUACGAUAAAAGUUCAAGAAAAGUCUUGGAUCCCCUUUACUUGCCAGGUAGGAAGUUGGGAGGGAGACAAGGAAGACAAGAUUGAGUCAGAUCAUGUUUUUAUAGCCUACAUUACUUGCCCACAUACGAUAAGGUGUCUCGAAGAUGAGAACUCUGAUAAAUGCAAUUUUACUGAAGCCUCUCUUGAGUUUAAUGUGACUGGUGGUACAAGUGAGAUAGGAAAAUUCACGGUGUUGAGGUGCGGCUUAAGUUUGGUUUAUGCAAAAGAUAACAACAGAAACAGUUCUCAUGAAGCAAAGUAUGAUAUGCCUGUUGAAGUAAACUUUCAAGAACCUCAACAUGGGAUGAAGGAGGAGAAAAGAAAACUAAAAGAUAAAGAAUUCAUGAUAGACGACCAAAGAAGAAACGGAAAAACAGAAGGUGUGAAAAUGUCUAGUGACACUCAUACUUGUGGUGCAAGUGUAACUCCAAGAAUGGGAGAUCUCCAAGCAAAUGGUUGAAAAUCUCCAAGGUGGAAUGAUCAUGUUUCAGGUGAACCAUAUUCUUACACAAAACAGAAAACACCAAGGAGUAAUUAAUAAAGAAGACUGUACAUUAGUAAUUUCUUGAUGGCGUAUUUUUAUAGAGGGAUACAUAUGUCAUGGGUGGAGCAAAUCUUUCUGGAGCAGUUGGUGUUCUUUUUCCUAUGUAAUGCUAAAGCAUCUGCUUCAGCCAAAAGACCCUUUUUGGCAGAGGGUUUUUGUUUACAAAAGCUUCUCUUUUACCAUCAAUUUACUUUAUUUUGAAUUCAGUGUUCACAAGAUUUCAUGUCAAGUUGCAGAGCAGAAAGGUAAUCAUUUAUUAGAGAUCUUAAUUUGUUGUUGCCGGUUCAAGUUAAUUUCAUGGUCUUGUUUGGUUAUCAAUUCUUUGUAAGACUCUUUUUUACGGUUGAAUAAAGAAAUAUUUUUUUCACAAUUCUUUCUCAAACUGAUAAUCUGAAAUGGUCAUCUUUCUUUCGCGUGAACAUUGUUCUAAUCCAUCUAUUUCUGUCGAGCUCUGCAACCGUCGUUUGAAGUCUAGCUUCUAUGUUGUCAUCUUCCAGCUCUCAAACUGAAGUACAGGUAAGGUCUCUGUUCCAUAAGAAAAACCUCUUUAAGUGUUCCAUGUCCUCAUCAAUGUUUGGAAAACACUGCAGCCAGAGAGAAUCAGUUAUUGAAGAGAUUUCAGUUUCAAAAGAUGCCUUAACCAGCAAUAUUUCUUUAAAUACAGAUCAGCUAGGUAUCUGAGGCUCUCUAUGAAUUCAGAUUUUUUUUUUUUUUACCUUACUAGAUAAAGAACUCAAUCUUGUUUAUUGGGGAAAAUGUCCUUGAAGUUCAGUCUACCUACAUUCCAGAACUGCAGUCUCUUAUCGGGAGAGUACAAAUCUAAACAGUUUUUUCAAGAGUAUUGAGAAAUCUAGGAUUACGCUUUUGAUCUUCUCGGUCAUGUACACUGAUUCAUAUUGGCGCUUGGCUGAGCUUGUGAAGAUCAUGGAACGCGCAGAUAAGGAAAAACUUGUGGUCAUGAUUCCCAUCUUCUAGAACGUGGACACGGACGAUGUUAAAUCCCUGAAGGGUGUGUUUGGUGACAAUGGAUGGACUCUGAUUCCAGGACGAGCAUUGACAUUGUGUUGCAGGAAAAUCCACCACUACCGCUGUCAAGUGUCAACUAAAAACCCUUGUUAACAUUUUCGAAUAAUGGAAAAUUUUGUUUGGUACUUCAGUUUAUUCUAAUGCUUUUCCUAUGCAGAGAUCAGUAUAUACUUGCUGAUGAGGUUGUACGGAAUGCCUGGUUAAGGCGAUUCUUGAAAAUAAGCAAGAAUAUGAUCAGAAUCCUUGCUACUAUUAUAUAUCUGCAAGAUUUCCAUCUAAUGUGUCAGAAGAAAGGGCUGAAGUAGUGGCCUGAUGAUUUCUUAAUAUUUGGGGAAGAAAAGCUUGUUAUAGAUUCUUGUGAUACAAAACAAAGUUUCAUAAAGAGCAUGUUCCAGAAGAAAACAUGUUUUGGUUGGUUUUCUUAUGAACAAAAUCCACUUGCGGAAAAGUUUAUUUGAAACCCGAGAAAAAUAAUCUGCUUAUACGUAUAAACUAGAUUUUAACCCGCGGUACACCGCGGGGCUAUAUUUUCUUAAAAAAAUCAAAAUGUAAUUUGUUUGAUAGAUUAUUUUGAUUGUUAAUUUUAGGAUUUCACCCGUGGUAUAGUAUCUUUUAUAAAUAUCAACCCAAACCCGUCCCAUCAUAUUACCCGUCCCGUGAAAUUAAACAUCAUUUAGUUAUUUUUCUUUUUAAUAAUACUUUUAUUUAAAAGCUAUAUAAUUCAAGUCAAUUUAAAAAUUUCUUUUAAAUGGUUCCCAUAAGAUAUAUAUACAUAUAUAUUAAAUUUGUAUAGAGUUGAAAAAUAUUAAUAUUACAAACUUUUUAUAUAAUUUAAAUAUUAUAAAUAUUUUUAAAAAUAUGCAAUAUAUAUUUUUUGUUAUUGAAUAAGAGGAUAUUAUGUGUAAGAAAUGUAGAAAAUAAGAGUUUAAUAUUUUUUAUUAUGGAGUCGCAAGAAAAAUCUUUUAUUUCUAUACAUGUUAUUCGUUUAUUAAUAAUAAAAGAAAACAAAUCCUUUAAAUUAGAUAUUAACUAAAAUAAACGCACCAUAAUUACUUAUUAAGUAACAACCAAUAAAUUUCACCAAAAAAUAGGUAACAACCAAUAAAUUCUAAACGCAGUAAUUAAAGAAUGAGAUAUUAAAAAAAAUAUCAAAUAAGAUAUAAGAAUCUUAAAAUAAUUGAAUAUCUAAAUAAUUUAAUUGUUAGUGUCGAUUUUAAUGCCUUCAUUAAUGUGGAUUUUUUUUUUACAGAGAAAUAUUUCCUAAAGAUUAUCACAUUAAUGACUCAGAAAAUUAAGGAAGAUAUGAAUUUAUGAUUCUCGAAAUCGUGUUGGUAAUAUCUUUAAUUAAUAUUUUUCAAAUUUAAAUAAUUAAUACCAAUGGCAUUCAUCCGUAAAUACAUUCCAACUCCAGGAUUUAUUUGCUAAAAGUCAUCCAAAAAUGUAUAUAUAGAUGAUGGAAUUCUCUUAUUUUACUUGUUCGUUACUAAUAAUCCAAGUUUCUUAUAAGGAAUGAUAUAUAGAAAGAUAAUCCUAUGCAAUCCAUUUUCUUCUCUUCUAACCUGAUCCAAUAUUCUUCUCCAUUCAUAUAAUGACUUGGUCCGUUGGACGAAUUGUGACACCUUUGACCAAGAGCCCACUCUUCCGGUUAGAGUACUCAUAUUGAUGCAAAGAGAAGAAGAUCUCCACCACGUUCUCUGGCAGUGCCUCAAACUCUCCAGCUUGAAUAUCAACCCAAUUGUUGUAUAUGUAGUCAUUUAAACACAAAGUCGACUCUUGUAUACUCUGGCUUCCAUCGCGAUGUUUCAGCUUCAAAUUUAGGGUCACUGGCUCCUCCCACCCGGAUGCUGUAUCAUCUAAGUAUAUCAUAAACACCACCUUGUACUUUGUUCCUGGAGUUAGUUCCCUCGUGACAAAAUAUCCCUUUAUUUGUAGCCAGUAUAUUUUAUUCAGCAUUGCGAUUUCAAUGUCUGCUUCACUGAAACAUAAUCAAACCUUAUUUUAGUUUAUAGUUUAACCUUAACCCCUCUAGUGAAAAAACAAAAUUUCCAACUUGCAUUAUACAUUUUUUUCUUUAUGAUUUUGAGUAAAAUGUAAUAGCUUACCUUUGUACAUAACCCCAUGUCCAUAAAUUAGGAUUCUCGGAAUGAGUGAUAUCGAGGCGCCUUGCAGGGACAACAAACACAACUCCUUGACUAAUUACUUCUCUUGAUGGUUUUCCCUUAAUUCGGAUCCUCGCCAUUAAAUCUUUAACCUCUUUGACCAUCGAUUUUAUGAAUUCUUCAUCAGAGCUAUCACUGUCAUAUGAUAGAAGUGAGAGAACUACGAAACACCCUAUUUUGACAUCUAAACGAAUUUUAACAACUCAUGCAAACUAUUUGAAGCAAUGACUUAAAUUAACGUACCAAUAUGUAAUAUUGUAUUCUCCUAUGGAUGAUAUGUCGGUUAAAGCUCGGCGCCAUUGUUGUUUCUCAUCCUCUGUUUUGUUCUUGCAAGUUUCUUCGAAUCGCCUUCCAAAUUCUCCCGUCUGUUCCCUAACAUCCAAGGGAUCCAAAUCGGGGUGGAAAAUUGGUAUCACCAUAUGACUCACGUCUUCAUUGCUCUUAGCAGUCUCCACCAAUUCGUUCAGGAGCCAGCUUGAAGAGGCAUAAUUGAUCGUAAACAAGAUGAUUGAGAUCGUCGAUCGAGACUCCGGUACCUCUUGUGUUAUUUUUAUCCCAUAUCUUUUGGAUGAAGGGAUUACGUUUUUUCUAAGAGCUGCAAUCAAGUAGUCGAGGAAGUUUAUCUGAAUAUCUUGUCUGCUGUACCUCAGGAAAACAUUACAUUUCUGAUUGUGAGGCGAAGAAAGACCCAUAGAGGCAAUCUUUCCAAAGUCUUUUGAGCUACCAGGCAGCAUAGAUUCUGUAUGCAAGAUUUCUUUACCCAUUCGUCGUGGCAAAGAAUCCAUAACUAUUUCCCGAUUAGAUGAUACACGUAUGAGAGACCUAUCGGCUAAGACCUUGAUCCCAGAGCUAACAUCCAUGUCAAUGUUGGCAAUAAGUGGUGCCACCAAAUCAACAUCCUCGUCAUUGAACAAACAUGCCAUGUAAAGAAAUAGAACUUUAUCCAUCUCCUGUAAACCAUCAUAGCUGGUUCUUGAAAUUUCUUCAACUUUUUUACUAUGCCAAAAAGAAUUUGAUGAACUCAUCUUAAGACUUGUUUCGCCAGUUGCAGCAUCAAUUGCAGAGACUCCACAUCUUUUCACUGUGCAACUAUCAUCUACACGCCGCUUCUUCUGCCUGUCGACAGGAAAGAAUUCAAACACAACUAAAUCAGCGAAUAUAUCCGGCUCAUAUCCUUCAUCGGUACUUGGACGCAUUUUGACAUCAAAGAAGACAAACAUAUGAUCCUUUUGAAAUUUUGGAACAGCUUCCCCUGUAGCCCAACAAUGCAAAUUUCUUUCUAUACUCUGAGAGCGGCCUGCCAUGUUCUUCCAUCUGCAAACACAACGUAUGCCUAAACCAGUAACAUCACUGUAAGCCUCUGAAAAUGAAACUUCCACCAGCAUAGCAAAACCCACAAGCGUGUUUCUCCAAGAAGGAUUUAGUUGUGUCAUCACAGAAGAUCCUGGUUGCAGAUAAGGUGUAAACUUUUGGUCCGCGUGUGAGGGCGCACAGAAGCUAAAAGCCAGAGGUUUGUUGAGUUCCUGUUAGAAGAUACAAAAUAAGUCAAAUAUGAUAUGAGUGAGGGAGGGAGAGUAUAAAGAGAGAGGGAGAGAGAGAAUUACCUUCUGAUGCUCUCUUGGCAUUUGUUUUACAUAAGCCAGUGCUUUCACCAAAAAACUAUUGACCACUUGUGGAGAGAGUUUAAAACAAUUAGUGAAUGUGNNNNNNNNNNNNNNNNNNNNNNNNNNNNNNNNNNNNNNNNNNNNNNNNNNNNNNNNNNNNNNNNNNNNNNNNNNNNNNNNNNNNNNNNNNNNNNNNNNNNGUGAUUCAGUUUGAAGCAGUUUAUAAAUUGGAGAGCCAUCCGUGGGAAGUUAAAGAAGCCAUAUAAACUCUCAAGUGAGACACAAUUAUUUGUCGUUAGCAGAGAGAGCGUUGCACGGAGAUUUUUGCAGUUACCAAGGAUAAGAUAUUUUGGUUGAAUGGAAGUCCAUGUGUCUGGAAGUCUUUCAAAACUUUCUGGAAGUCUUUUCCACUUAACAUGGCUGGACUUGAAGUAUUCUACGAGUCUUACACUUGUUCCAGAGUUGCCACCAAAUCUUCCCUACUUAGAUGCACAGGGUUGUAGCUCACUGAAGACAGUUGCAAAACCGGUGCCCCGUAUCAUGCCGACCGUGCAGAGCCAUUGCACUUUAAAUUUCACCAAUUGUGAUAACCUGGAGCAAGCUGCAUUGGAUGAAAUCACAUCGUUUGGUCAAAGUAAAUGCCAGUUUCUAUCAGAUGUUCGUAAACACUACAAUGAGGUCUCUCUCUAUAUCUAAUUCUCUCUCCAUGUGGCUUUCUGUAUCCCUCUCUUUGAUUCUUAUAUUAAAAGGAAACUCCACAAUUAAUGAUUUUCCUUUUCUAUAAUGUUGCAGGGUUUUAGUUCAGGGGCUUUGUUCACCACUCGCUUUCCUGGAUGUGAGGUACCUUCGUGGUUUUGUCAUGAAGAAAGAGGAUCUCUGUUGCAACGAAAACUCCUCCCACAUUGGCAUGACAAGAGCCUUUCAGGGAUAGCUCUAUGUGCUGUAGUCUCAUUCCUUUCUAGCCAAAAUCAAUCAGCAGCUUCUCGGUGGCAUGCACCUUUACGAUAAAAGUUCAAGAAAAGUCUUGGAUCCCCUUUACUUGCCAGGUAGGAAGUUGGGAGGGAGACAAGGAAGACAAGAUUGAGUCAGAUCAUGUUUUUAUAGCCUACAUUACUUGCCCACAUACGAUAAGGUGUCUCGAAGAUGAGAACUCUGAUAAAUGCAAUUUUACUGAAGCCUCUCUUGAGUUUAAUGUGACUGGUGGUACAAGU
rnacentral:lncRNA from 1 species